rnacentral:rRNA from 1 species
AUACGUAGGGUGCGAGCGUUGUCCGGAAUUACUGGGCGUAAAGAGCUCGUAGGUGGUUUGUCGCGUCGUCUGUGAAAUUCCGGGGCUUAACUCCGGGCGUGCAGGCGAUACGGGCAUAACUUGAGUACUGUAGGGGAGACUGGAAUUCCUGGUGUAGCGGUGAAAUGCGCAGAUAUCAGGAGGAACACCGGUGGCGAAGGCGGAUCUCUGGGCAGGAACGGACGCUGGGGGGCGAAAUCAUGGGGAGCGAACAGGAUUAGAUACCCUGGUAGUCCAUGCCGUAAACGGGGGGCUCUAGGUGUAGGGGUCUUCCACGACUUCUGUGCCGUAGCUAACGCAUUAAGCGCCCCGCCUGGGGAGUACGGCCGCAAGGCUAAAACUCAAAGGAAUUGACGGGG